GAUGAAGAACGCAGCGAAAUGCGAUACUUGGUGUGAAUUGCAGAAUCCCGUGAACCAUCGAGUCUUUGAACGCAAGUUGCGCCCGAAGCCAUUAGGCCGAGGGCACGCCUGCCUGGGCGUCACACGUCGUUGCCCCCCCAUCUACUCCUUCGGGAUUGCGGGGGGCGGAUGAUGGCCUCCCGUGCGCCUCGCCGCGCGGUUGGCAUAAAUGCCAAGUCCUCGGCGACGCACGCCACGACAAUCGGUGGUUGCGAAACCUCGGUUGCCCGUCGUGUGCGGUCGUCGCGCAUCGAGGGCACGAAAAAAUUGCCGGGUUCCGGCUCGGCUUUCAACGCGACCCCAGGUCAGGCGGGGUUACCCGCUGAAUUUAAGCAUAUCAAUAAGCGGAGGA
rnacentral:misc_RNA from 1 species